rnacentral:tRNA from 2 species
GCGCUCGUAGCUCAAUUGGAUAGAGUGCCACACUGCGGAUGUGGAGGUCGGGAGUUCGAGUCUCCCCGAGCGCGCCA